GCAGUUAAAAAGCUCGUAGUUGGAUUUCGGUUAAGAGCGACCGGUCCGCCGUUUGGUGUGCACUGGUUGGUUUUAACUUCCUGUAGAGGACGUGCUCUGGGCUUAACGGUCUGGACUCGGAGUCUACGUGGUUACUUUGAAAAAAUUAGAGUGUUCAAAGCGGGCUUACGCUUGAAUAUUUCAGCAUGGAAUAACACUAUAGGACUCCUGUCCUAUUUCGUUGGUCUCGGGACGGGAGUAAUGAUUAAGAGGAACAGUUGGGGGCAUUCGUAUUUCAUUGUCAGAGGUGAAAUUCUUGGAUUUAUGAAAGACGAACUUCUGCGAAAGCAUUUGCCAAGGAUGUUUUCAUUAAUCAAGAACGAAAGUUGGGGGCUCGAAGAUGAUUAGAUACCAUCCUAGUCUCAACCAUAAACGAUGCCGACUAGGGAUUGGCGGGUGUUAAUUGAUGACUCCGCCAGCACCUUAUGAGAAAUCAAAGUUUUUGGGUUCCGGGGGGAAUAUGGUCGCAAAGCUGAAACUUAAAGGAAUUGACGGAAGGGCACCACC
rnacentral:rRNA from 1 species